UACGAAGGGGGCUAGCGUUGCUCGGAAGCACUGGGCGUAGAGCGCACGUAGGCGGCUUGUUAAGUCAGGGGUGAAAUCCUGGAGCUCAACUCCAGAACUGCCUUUGAUACUGGCGAGCUUGAGUCCGGGAGAGGUGAGUGGAACUGCGAGUGUAGAGGUGAAAUUCGUAGAUAUUCGCAAGAACACCAGUGGCGAAGGCGGCUCACUGGCCCGGUACUGACGCUGAGGUGCGAAAGCGUGGGGAGCAAACAGG
rnacentral:rRNA from 1 species